AAAUUGAAGAGUUUGAUCAUGGCUCAGAUUGAACGCUGGCGGCAGGCCUAACACAUGCAAGUCGAACGGUAACAGGAAGCAGCUUGCUGCUUUGCUGACGAGUGGCGGACGGGUGAGUAAUGUCUGGGAAACUGCCUGAUGGAGGGGGAUAACUACUGGAAACGGUGGCUAAUACCGCAUAACGUCGCAAGACCAAAGAGGGGGACCUUCGGGCCUCUUGCCAUCAGAUGUGCCCAGAUGGGAUUAGCUUGUUGGUGAGGUAACGGCUCACCAAGGCGACGAUCCCUAGCUGGUCUGAGAGGAUGACCAGCCACACUGGAACUGAGACACGGUCCAGACUCCUACGGGAGGCAGCAGUGGGGAAUAUUGCACAAUGGGCGCAAGCCUGAUGCAGCCAUGCCGCGUGUAUGAAGAAGGCCUUCGGGUUGUAAAGUACUUUCAGCGGGGAGGAAGGUGUUGCGGUUAAUAACCGCAGCAAUUGACGUUACCCGCAGAAGAAGCACCGGCUAACUCCGUGCCAGCAGCCGCGGUAAUACGGAGGGUGCAAGCGUUAAUCGGAAUUACUGGGCGUAAAGCGCACGCAGGCGGUCUGUCAAGUCGGAUGUGAAAUCCCCGGGCUCAACCUGGGAACUGCAUUCGAAACUGGCAGGCUUGAGUCUUGUAGAGGGGGGUAGAAUUCCAGGUGUAGCGGUGAAAUGCGUAGAGAUCUGGAGGAAUACCGGUGGCGAAGGCGGCCCCCUGGACAAAGACUGACGCUCAGGUGCGAAAGCGUGGGGAGCAAACAGGAUUAGAUACCCUGGUAGUCCACGCCGUAAACGAUGUCUACUUGGAGGUUGUGCCCUUGAGGCGUGGCUUCCGGAGCUAACGCGUUAAGUAGACCGCCUGGGGAGUACGGCCGCAAGGUUAAAACUCAAAUGAAUUGACGGGGGCCCGCACAAGCGGUGGAGCAUGUGGUUUAAUUCGAUGCAACGCGAAGAACCUUACCUGGUCUUGACAUCCACAGAACUUUCCAGAGAUGGAUUGGUGCCUUCGGGAACUGUGAGACAGGUGCUGCAUGGCUGUCGUCA
rnacentral:rRNA from 1 species